rnacentral:rRNA from 1 species
GAUGAGCGCUGGCGGCGUGCCUAAUACAUGCAAGUCGAGCGAACGGACGAGAAGCUUGCUUCUCUGAUGUUAGCGGCGGACGGGUGAGUAACACGUGGAUAACCUACCUAUAAGACUGGGAUAACUUCGGGAAACCGGAGCUAAUACCGGAUAAUAUUUUGAACCGCAUGGUUCAAAAGUGAAAGACGGUCUUGCUGUCACUUAUAGAUGGAUCCGCGCUGCAUUAGCUAGUUGGUAAGGUAACGGCUUACCAAGGCAACGAUGCAUAGCCGACCUGAGAGGGUGAUCGGCCACACUGGAACUGAGACACGGUCCAGAAUCCUACGGGAGGCAGCAGUAGGGAAUCUUCCGGAAUGGGCGAAAGCCCGACGGAGCAACGCCGGGUGAGUGAUGAAGGUCUUCGGAUUGUAAAACUCUGUUAUUAGGGAAGAACAUAUGUGUAAGUAACUGUGCACAUCUUGACGGUACCUAAUCAGAAAGCCACGGCUAACUACGUG